UUCAGUUACUGGUCCCUGCCGGUGCUGCAAAUACUUAGCCUGGGGAAGAGUGGUGGGGAGAGACGAAAUAGUUAACUAGCUGACCUGGGGCGCACAGCUUCCCUAGCACCUGCUGCGCUCAGGCUGCGGCUGGCUGCUUCCUCCUGAAUCUGUUAGGAGUACACUUUCCCCUUGGCCCUCGGGGGCCAGCGUCCAGGUUUGCCCCAGCGGUGGAGACAGCUCCAGUCACCGAACUGAUUUAUAGGCCAGAGCAUUCCCAGGCCGCACCGCAAGGAGUCGGGCUGAGCUUGGACUUUGGGGAGGUGGUGAUGGACACAGGACACGUGGCCACACAAUGGGGACACACGACUGACCUAAGUCACUUCGGUAAACUGCCCUUGCUUUCCGGAGGCAGCAGGAGCGUUUCGGGAGCUCCAAGUCUCUAGGCGCCUGCAUUCCUCGCCCCAGCAGGGUAGUAGCACUGCACUUGUCUGGCUGAACUGCAUGGCACCCUAACUUCUCCUUGACAAUUCCAAAGACCGAAGUUGGAGCGAAGAGCAACAGAAUUUUUGCAAAAAUAAAAACAGAGGCCAAACCCAGGGCAAAGGGUUGGGAACUGGGGCUGGGUAGCCUGUUGCGUGCACCUUCCAGAAGAACGCUGGGGAGAACCUAAAGUUCGCUGGAGCCCUCUUCCCCUCUCCUGCGUUCCAAGAGGAUCCACAAAGUGGGGUUGGGAGAUUUGAUAGGCUGAAAUCCGGUCACUCACGUCCACGGUUCUAUUCAGAAAACAGUUUCAAAAUAAGUUAACCUCUGUAGGGCGUUUUUCCCCCUCCCCUUCUAAUUGUCCCCCCUUCCCCCACCCCCUCCCCCAUUUGAGUCUGUUUUAUGUUCCCCUGCGUUGUGCCAACUAUUUUAUCUUUAUUCCUUCUCUUUCUCUCUUGCUAUUCAUUCCUUUUUGUGUGUGUGGCUUCUCCGGCUGAUGUGCAGCUCGUUACCACCCACUGCACACUUGCUCCUGUAGCUGAGGUGUUUCUAUACAAACUCCAGCGUCCAGUUGUCAUAUUAAUUAUUACACUGAGUAAUGACUGAAAUGGUCAAAAUAAGGGGAGACUCAAGAGCGCUUUUUCUUGCGGCUCAAAGAUUCAGCAAAGAAGCCGUGCAACAAAGCACUAAUUGGUCCCCAGAAACACUCUGACAAGGCAUGGAAGAUAGGUUUCAUAGAGCCCUUCGAUUGUGAAGGGGGGAGAGCUCUGAAUGGACUCCACGCUUCUUUUCUAAACUCUCUUGCUGAGCAAAAAAUGGACCUCUGUUUGAAUACUGCCCUGAUCCUUGAAUACUAUACCCAGCAGAGAAAAAAAUGCAGCAUUUAUUGUAAGUUUUUUUUUUCUUCUCCAGCUAU